AUUUAUUUUUUUUUUUUUUUGUACAUUAAAAGAUAAUGUUCAAUUUAAAACAAAAGAUUUUGAUUAAAUCAGUGAAGAUUCAUUUUAAAGCUAAUUAAUAAUUAAUAUGUUUUUGCAAAAAGAAAUAUGGAUAAUUUGAGUGCACUAACUAAUUGGACCAACUGCAUAUUUAGGAGGGAACAUUCUUGUAAUACAGAAAAUGUUCAUAUAACCUGACAAGCCAGUUAUUCGGAUCAAAAGCAUUAUGUGCCAAUUUAGUCCAAUUAACUGGAAUCUAAAGUAACUGGAACAAAAAAAUUUGCUUUUGUUUAAAACAAACAAAACAAUGUUUUCGUAUAAAGUCAUAAAUGUUGCUUAGUUUUCUUUUGAUUCUAUUCCAUGUGUUUCACAUACACCAAAUUAGACUGCUUUGUCCAAUGUUAGAAUUCAAAGAUGUCAGUAGGGUUUUUCAUUAAAUGAUAAGCAUGUGAAUUGUUGGGUUUUUAAUGUAACUAUUGAUCAGAAGUGUUUUAAAUGCUCUAAAGUGUGUCAUUUGAUUGUGCUUAUGUAAUGGAACACACUUGCAUCACCUCAAAACUGUUUUGUGGUUAAGUCAACAUUUUUGUGGUACAACUUAUUUCAAAUGCAUCCUUCAUGUGUUUUUUUUUUUUUAAUGGUAAAAAAAAAAUUAGAUUCUAAUAUCAAACACUGUAAUUAAAUUAGCAUUCACCUAGAUAUAUUUUUUUAAAGUGGAUUUAUGUAUUAGCUAAUUAGUCAGGUAAUUCUUCAAUUGUGCAUGUAUCCAGAUUUAUUUUUGUUCUCUUUCAAAUAAAGCCUAAAAGAACAACCAAAAAACAAA